rfam:Plasmodiophora brassicae isolate e3 genome assembly, contig: scaffold_15
GCCUCUUUAGCUCAGUUGGCAGAGCAUCCGCUUCGUAAGCGGGAGGUCGUGGGUUCGAUCCCCAUUGGAGGCA